rnacentral:rRNA from 1 species
ACUGGCCCCCAUAUUUUACCUGUGCGGAGGUAGCAUAAUUAUUAUUUUAUUAAUUGUAAACUUGUAUGAAUGGUUAAAUGAGAAAUUUACUUUCUUUGUAGUUAUUAUUAAAAUUUAUAUUUUAAGUUAAAAUACUUAAAUAUAUUUAUGGGACGAGAAGACCCUAUAAAACUUAACUCAACUUUAAUUUAAUAAAUUAAAGUUGAGUUAGAUUGGGGAGAUUACGAAAUUUUUUUAACUUUCGUUGGUUUUAUUUCAUUAAUUAUUGUUUUAAUGAUUAAAUUUUAUUUAAUUUAGAUUAAGUUACUUUAGGGAUAACAGCGUAAUUUGAUUGGAGAGUUCAUAUUAAUAAUCAAGGUUGCGNCCUCGAUGUUGAA